GAUGAACGCUGGCGGCGUGCCUAAUACAUGCAAGUCGAGCGAACAGACGAGGUGCUUGCUCCUCUGACGUUAGCGACGGACGGGUGAGUAACACGUGGAUAACCUACCUAUAAGACUGGGAUAACUUCGGGAAACCGGAUCUAAUACCGGAUAUUAUAUUGAACCGCAUGGUUCAAUAGUGAAAGACGGUUUUGCUGUCACUUAUAGAUGGAUCCGCGCCGCAUUAGCUAGUUGGUAAGGUAACGGCUUACCAAGGCAACGAUGCGUAGCCGACCUGAGAGGGUGACCGGCCACACUGGAACUGAGACACGGUCCAGACUCCUACGGGAGGCAGCAGUAGGGAAUCUUCCGCAAUGGGCGAAAGCUUGACGCAGCAACGCCGCGUGAGUGAUGAAGGUCUUCGGAUCGUAAAGCUCUGUUAUUAGGGAAGAAAAAAUGUGUACGUAACUAUGCACGUCUUGACGGUACCUAAACAGAAAGCCCCGGCUAACUACGUG
rnacentral:rRNA from 1 species